rnacentral:ncRNA from 2 species
UGCAAAUUGAAAGUGCAUGGUGCCAAAAUGGAAUAAUAGGGAAUCUAGUGAGAAUCUAGAACUAUGCUCGUAGCUGUAUAGCACUCGUUGUCAUCACUUAAUUUAAUAGCUAAUUCAAUACUUUUAGCUCUCUUAAUUUAACUGAUAAAAAUUGAUACUCCAUUGCUGUUCCGCUUGAUCAGAUGUAUCAAGUAUAAAGUGAGAAGGACAAUUUUUAGAGUCAAGUCAGAAGACCUACCAAGCAAAUGAAGCCACC